rnacentral:misc_RNA from 1 species
UUUUCAGUGCUAUCUGGGCGAUGCGUUUCGAUGUGCGAGCUGUCCUUACCUGGGUAUGCCAGCCUUCAAACCUGGCGAGAAAGUGACUUUAUCAGGGACCCAGCUAAAGGCUGAUGCGUGACAGACUUAAGCGGAAUUCUUGGAUGUGAUAUUUCUUCCCUUUUCAGUACAUGGAGGGACCUUUUAUAUGAAAGUCUGAUCUUUUUUAGAAAAAAAAAAAAUCUUGAACUUCUAAAUAAUGGGCCCAACUAAAGCAAAAUACAUGUACAUGAAGUUUUAAAUGUUGUUUACCAUUUAUUGGAAUGUAAAUGUCCAAAAAGAAGAACAUUAACAUUUUUAGAUAGAGGAAAUUUGGAUUUUGUUUUAAGAAGUAUUCAUGUAAUGGUGGCCUUAAUGAAGGUUUUAGGCUUGUUAACAUGAUUGUUGAAUGAGUGAUCAGACUUUCAGCAAGACGAUGUUAAAGAAUUUUUCAAAUGUUUUAAGCUCAUCAAUUAUGUUUGGCUCGCAAAAUAUGAUCUAAAAUUAAGAAUUAUGAUGUAUUUGUCUUCAAAAUGAAUCUGUGUAAAAUCAG